CUACGUGCCAGCAGCCGCGGUAAUACGUAGGUCUCAAGCGUUAUCCGGAUUUACUGGGCGUAAAGUGUCCGUAGUCUGAUCUGUAAGUCUGUUUUCAAAUCCUACGACUCAAUCGUAGAAAGGGAAUGGAUACUGCAGAUCUAGAAGUAUCUAGGGGUUAGUGGAAUUUCCGGUGGAGCGGUGAAAUGCGUUGAUAUCGGAAGGAACGCCGAAAGCGAAAGCAGCUAACUAUAGAAUACUUGACGAUGAGGGACGACAGUUUGGGGAGCAAACAGGAUUAGAUACCCUGGUAGUCCAAACCGUAAAUUAUGCUUGCUAGAUGUUUUUAUCAAUUUAUUGGUAGGAGUGUCGUAAUCUAACGAGUUAAGCAAGCCGCCUGGGUAGUAUAUUCGCAAGAAUGAAACUCAAAGGGAUAGGCGGGGGAACACACAAGCAGUGGAUUAUCUAGAUUAAUUGGAUAAUAAGCCAAGAAUCUUACCUAGGAUUGACAU
rnacentral:rRNA from 1 species